rnacentral:rRNA from 1 species
CCUUUGUACACACCGCCCGUCGCUACUACCGAUUGAAUGGUUUAGUGAGGUCUUGAGAUUGGCUUCGGGGAGCCGGCAACGGCACCUUGUUGCUGAGAACUUGAUCAAACUUGGUCAUUUAGAGGAAGUAAAAGUCGUAACAAGGUUUCCGUAGGUGAACCUGCGGAAGGAUCAUUAAUGAAUUUUGAAAGGGGUUGUAGCUGGUCUUUUCCGAGACAUGUGCACGCCCUGCUCAUCCAUUCUACCCCUGUGCACACUCUGUAGGUCGGUUUUGAAGCGAUUCCUCACGGAAUCGCUCGGGCCUUCCUAUGUUUUCAUACAAACACUUUAAAGUCAAAGAAUGUAAUCGCGUGUAACGCAUUUAAUACAACUUUCAGCAACGGAUCUCUUGGCUCUCGCAUCGAUGAAGAACGCAGCGAAAUGCGAUAAGUAAUGUGAAUUGCAGAAUUCAGUGAAUCAUCGAAUCUUUGAACGCACCUUGCGCUCCUUGGUAUUCCGAGGAGCAUGCCUGUUUGAGUGUCAUGGAAUUCUCAACCCUCUUAUCUUUGUUAUGAGAUGGGCUUGGACUUGGAGGUUAUUGCCGGCUGGUCAUGAGUCUGGCUCCUCUUGAAUUCAUUAGCUUGAACCCUUGUGGAUCGGCUACUCGGUGUGAUAAUUGUCUACGCCGUGUGCUGUGAAGCUUUCAAACACUUUGUUGUGUUGAGGGAUUUGCUUCUAAUCGUCCUUCAAUGGACAAUUUUUGACCUCUGACCUCAAAUCAGGUAGGAUUACCCGCUGAACUUAAGCAUAUCAAUAAGCGGAGGAAAAGAAACUAACAAGGAUUCCCCUAGUAACUGCGAGUGAAGCGGGAAAAGCUCAAAUUUAAAAUCUGGCGGCUUUUGGCUGUCCGAGUUGUAGUCUGGAGAAGUGCUUUCCGCGCUGGACCGUGUACAAGUCUCUUGGAACAGAGCGUCAUAGAGGGUGAGAAUCCCGUCUUUGACACGGACUACCAGUGCUUUGUGAUGCGCUCUCAAGAGUCGAGUUGU